UUGAUUUGCUUGAGGAUUGGCAUCAAUGACGAAGCUUCGAGUCUUGCCUGUUACUCAGGAAGCAUUCCAGAAUUCUUUCUCGUAGCCAUUUUUGCGAAAAAGCUUCCUUCUGAUUACUGAUAUAAGGAAAAAAGAUGAUAUUUUUAAUCAUUUACUUUAUUUUGCGUGUUAAAAUGAAAUUAAACCGUGAAACAUUGUUGUUUCAAAUGUAUAAGUAUUUGCAACCAUAUUUUUUCAACAAAAAUUUUACAUCGACAAUCAAGAAAUCUAAAGCUACCUCUACUGCUGAUGUUACCUUUGAUGACAGAUGAUCUUGAACUAUUCAAGAUAUACGGGGGCUCUUCAUCUGCUGGCAAAUUGUUUGGUAUUUGUUUGCAAUCUCUUAUGCAGGAAUUGGUAUCCCUCUUCUACCAUACGCUCGUGCAAAACGCAAAGGCAAGGAGAGAUUCAACACUUCAGUUUUACAUAUAUAUAAUAAUUUUUAAUAGUUUUAUGCCUCAUUUAUUCAUUUAAUUAUUUUUUUAAGAAAGUGAUGUUUUAUGAUCAUGUAGAAAUUCGUAGAUGAUGUCAGAUUUAUUUGAAAGAUAGUGUAAAUUUUAAAAGUUAAGUUAAAAUUCGCAUUUUUUUCAGAACUUGCAUUGGAUGUAAUUAGGCGGUAUACUGCAUAAAUCUUUCUCCUCAAGGACUGAACCAAUCUUUUUUUACUUAAAUAAGGAUAUCGCUUUUUUAUUGCAUCGUCUUUUUAAUCGAUUGAUAUCGCUUUUUAAAAAAUUUAGAUUCAAAACAAACGCCAAAAGAUACAUAUGGUACACGAAUUCGCGCCGAAACUGUAGGUUAAAUUGUAAAAUAUGAUAAGGAAUACAAAAAACUAACCUGAAUUUAAAGUUUUAUAAAAUUUUAUCAUAAAUAUACUUGUAAGGCUUUUAUUUAUAAGGCUUGUAAUGCCUAAUUACAAUAAUUCAUAUAGUUAUUCAAAUCAGUGAUAUUCCUUUUGUACACAUAUUUUUUAAUUUGAAAUUUGAAAGUAUCAAUUUAUCAAACAGCGAGUCAAAGAUUUUAAUAUAAAAUUCUAGUUUCAUGCAAAAUUCUUAAAACAUGCAAAAAUAUAUGAAAACGUUUUUAAAUGCACAAAUGAAAUGAAGGAAAUAUUUAAAUAAAAUGAGAAUUUUUUGAGAAUGAGUAUGAGUAAAAAAUACAUUUUGUAACCAAAAAAGUGUAAAAAAAUGAAAAGAAAAGAAAGAAAGAAAAAUACAUUAUAUGAAAAAUGUUCACGUGUAGUUUUAUAUAUUUUUGGUAACUAUUUAAAAAUAGGUAUUAGAAAAAAGAAAUUGAAUGAAAAUAAAUAACAGAAAUUAAAAUUCCCUAAAUAGAAAUAAAUUAUUCAUAAAAGUGCAAAAAAUGUUCUUUUUGAGAUACAUCGAGAAGAUCUAUAUGUUUGAAAACUAAUUUCUUCAAAAGGUUAAUGUAAGAUUUACACAGCAGAAUAGAAUUUUGAUAAGAAUUUAGGAUAUGCAAUUACUGUGUGAUUCUCUUACUCUCAAAACUAAGUAUAUUCAUUUGUUUUAAUUUAAUGUACAUACUGAAAUAACAGUAAUUUUAGUUAUGAGCAAUGUCAAUUUAGAGAUAUCUUCAAUAUUUUAUGAAUGAAGCAAAAAAAAAAAAAAAAACCUGUAGAUUUAAAAAAUAUUUGAUACAAAAUUGUAGAAAAAUGGCAAUAUUUUCAAUGCUUUAUGAAUAUUAUUUAAUCAUAUGAUGGGGAUCUUAAAUUAUGUGGAAAUAUUUUUAAAGUAUAGUAAAACAAUAUAAUAAAAAAAGUUACAAUUUAAACUGUGUUAGUAUAAUGUUACAAAAUAAUAAUGAUUCUUGAUUUAAUUUUAAUAAGUAUGAGUAUAUGGCUCUUGUAAUUUACAUUAAUGUUAAUAAUAAAAUUGCUUCGUAACAUCUAUUAAAAGAAGGUAUUGAGAAUUUUAGAUAAUUGGCUGGUUUACCUGUUUAAUGCCGAUCUGCAAACAACAACUGAAUUAAAAAAUAUUGAGUAUCACGAUAUUUAAUUUUGAAAGAUUUUAUGGAAUUAGAGUGUACUUGAAUAAAGUAAUGUCCUUUCACAAACAAAUUUUUAAAAAAAGAUAUAUUUUGAAAAAAAAUGUAUAUAUUGCAUAUUUUUAAUAGCCAGUUGUGUUUAAAUAAAACAUUAAUUAAUUAAUUAUAACUAAAAUAUACAUUUUCUUUUGCAUAAAAACUUAUUACAAAUCACUUUUUUAUCAUAUAACUUUAUGACAUUUAGAAAGCGUGUUUUGAUCUACAGUUCAUCUAAGCUUUAGAGUUUUGUUAUGCAUUGAGUAAUUCGUUUACUGACAAAAACUGCAAAGUAAUAAAAAUGAUAAUGUUUGCAACAAUAUAUCUUAUUACAUUUUUUGGUUAAUAAUGGAAAUGCAUUUGCUCAUCAGAAUGUAUCUGCAUAUUUUAUGCUAAAUGAAAAAAAAUUUAAUUCAAUCUCUAGCUCAAUGAUUUCGUUUUAAUCCCUUAUAUAUUUUUAUUUUUAUUUUAUUUUAUUUAUUUUUUUACUUCUAUAUUUUAAACAAAUGCAAGCAUCAAAUAUAUUUUUUA